rnacentral:rRNA from 1 species
GACGAACGCUGGCGGCGCGCUUACACAUGCAAGUCGAACGGAAAGGCCUGCUUUCCCUUGUGGAUUGCGGGUACUCGAGUGGCGAACGGGUGAGUAACACGUGAGUGAUCUGCCCCCAACUUGGGUAUAAGCCUGGGAAACUGGGUCUAAUUCCCGAUAGGACUGCAGGGUGGUGCCUGUGGUGGAAAACGAUUUUCUAGUGGUUGGGGAUGAGCUCGCGGCCUAUCAGCUUGUUGGUGGGGUAAUGGCCUACCAAGGCGGCGACGGGUAGCCGGCCUGAGAGGGUGGACGGCCACAUUGGGACUGAGAUACGGCCCAGACUCCUACGGGAGGCAGCAGUGGGGAAUAUUGCACAAUGGGCGGAAGCCUGAUGCAGCGACGCCGCGUGGGGGAUGACGGCCUUCGGGUUGUAAACUCCUUUCGACCGCGAGGAAGCCACCUGGUUGGAAGGGUGGUGACGGUAGUGGUAGAAGAAGCACCGGCUAACUACGUG